CCAUGUACAUUUAAACAAAAUGGAGGCUCUUUAGUUUUAUUCCAAUGGCCAUUUGGAUAUAUAAGAUCACCUAAAAACUAAAGAGCCUCCAUUUUGUUUAAAUACACAUGG